GACAGAGGGUGCAAACGUUGCUCGGAUUUACUGGGCGUAAAGGGCGCGUAGGCGGACAGUUAAGUCGGGGGUGAAAGCCCGGGGCUCAACCUCGGAAUUGCCUUCGAUACUGGCUGUCUUGAGUGUGAGAGAGGUGUGUGGAACUCCGAGUGUAGAGGUGAAAUUCGUAGAUAUUCGGAAGAACACCAGUGGCGAAGGCGACACACUGGCUCACUACUG
rnacentral:rRNA from 1 species